rnacentral:rRNA from 1 species
CGGUAGGCACCAGUGGGGAAUAUUGGACAAUGGCAGAGAGCCUGAUCCAGCAAUCCCGCGUGAGUUAUGAAGGCCUUAGGGUUGUAAAGCUCUUUUACCCGGAUGAUAAUGACAGUACCCUAAGAAUAAGCACGAUCUAUCACAGUACCC